AGAGUUUGAUCCUGGCUCAGAGUGAACGCUGGCGGCAGGCCUAAUACAUGCAAGUUGAACGGCAGCACGGCAGAGCUUGCUCUGUGGGUGGCGAGUGGCGGACGGGUGAGGAAUACAUGGGAAUCUGCCCAGUCGUGGGGAUAACGUAGGGAAACUUACGCUAAUACCGCAUGCGCCCUUCGGGGGAAAGCCGGGGACCUUCGGGCCUGGCGCGAUUGGAUGAGCCCAUGUCGGAUUAGCUAGUUGGCGGGGUAAUGGCCCAACCAAGGCGACGAUCCGUAGCUGGGUCUGAGAGGAUGAUCAGCCACACUGGAACUGAGACACGGUCCAGACUCCUACGGGAGGCAGCAGUAGGGAAUAUUGGACAAUGGGCGCAAGCCUGAUCCAGCCAUGCCGCGUGAGUGAAGAAGGCCCUCGGGUUGUAAAGCUCUUUUGUCCGGAAAGAAAAGCGCCGGGUUAAUACCCUGGUGUCCUGACGGUACCGGAAGAAUAAGCACCGGCUAACUUCGUG
rnacentral:rRNA from 1 species